GGAUUCAUAGUUCUAACUGGCUAGAACACCAGCUUGUCACGCUGCGAGGUUGCGGGUUCAAAUCCCGCUGGAUCCG
rnacentral:tRNA from 1 species